GCCGAGCCAAGUAGCGAUGGCUUGUCACCCGAGCGGGGGCAAUAAGGUGGUGCGGAUGCCUGGUCGUUUGCGCUUUGGCCUGGGCCUGUGGUUCGCUCUAUGCGGCCCGCCCGUUCCAAGUUGCGUAGCGUGUAUGGGGCGCCCUGGCGAAAGCUAGAGCGUCCCUGCACCUAGAGUGGCGGGUAUUGCGUGAGGCUGGUUUCACAGAGCAGCGAGUACCGCCCGCUUCCAACGGUGGAAGGAUAACGGGCCGCUGCAGCCCUGGCCCGCUUCCGGCCCAUGUGCCUUCCAUGGCAGACCCCCAUCUUU
rfam:Oryza nivara chromosome 10, whole genome shotgun sequence.